rnacentral:rRNA from 1 species
ACGAACGCUGGCGGCGUGCUUAACACAUGCCAGUCGAACGGAAAGGCCCUGCUUUUGUGGGGUGCUCGAGUGGCGAACGGGUGAGUAACACGUGAGUAACCUGCCCUUGACUUUGGGAUAACUUCAGGAAACUGGGGCUAAUACCGGAUAGGAGCUCCUGCUGCAUGGUGGGGGUUGGAAAGUUUCGGCGGUUGGGGAUGGACUCGCGGCUUAUCAGCUUGUCGGUGGGGUAGUGGCUUACCAAGGCUUUGACGGGUAGCCGGCCUGAGAGGGUGACCGGCCACAUUGGGACUGAGAUACGGCCCAGACUCCUACGGGAGGCAGCAGUGGGGAAUAUUGCACAAUGGGCGGAAGCCUGAUGCAGCAACGCCGCGUGCGGGAUGACGGCCUUCGGGUUGUAAACCGCUUUCGCCUGUGACGAAGCGUGAGUGACGGUAAUGGGUAAAGAAGCACCGGCUAACUACGUG